rnacentral:lncRNA from 1 species
AUGAUCUUUGAUUUUCUUUUUGACAGUCUGGAAGACAAAAUGUUAGCGAGGAUGGUCAGAGCACUGAGGUCAUUUAAGGGUCCUGUUUUGCUGACCACAGAGGAGCUUUCACUGGUCACAAGAGACUCAAAACAAAGUCUCUCUCAGAUCCUGAGCAACUUGACGUCUCUCCUGAGACUACUGUCUGUCCAGUGUUUGGAUCUUACUGAGUGUAAAUCAGAGGCUCUGUCUCUCACACCAGUGUUGGGUCUCCAGGAACCUCUGUCUAUCAGGCUCUCUAAAGAAACUCUUGAGCAGCUGGUUUCAGUGGUGUAUGAAGCACAGGAUGAUGAACUGACGCGCUGCUUUCUGAAGAAGGUUUCUGAGGAUCUGACUUCCUGCUCACUGACCUGGGAAGUGAUUCAUUACCUGCUGCAACAUCAAGCUCUAAACCUGAAGUUGGACUUUAGAAAGAGCAAAAUCUCUUUUGAAAACAUCAGAGAACUUCUGCCGGUGUUAGACAGAAUCCAGCUGAAACGGAUGAGCCCCAGCUUCACUCUGUCCAUCAUCAUGGAGAUUUACGAGACUCGCUUUCCUCAGUACGUGUCCAGUCUGUCGAGUUUGGUGAAGAAUUAUAUCAACCUGAAUGGCCGAGUGUUGGACUCUGUUCACUGCGCUGCCCUGCGCUUCACUCUGCAGCACUGCAACACUGUCAAACUCAAUCUGCUCUGGACCUCCAUACCAGCAGAGGAGCUCCAGAGCUUUCUGCCUUUACUCAGCAGAGUCACACAACUCAGUGUUGACAGGCUGCUGUUGCUGAAGCUGCUUCGUUGCUGCAGUUCCUCUGAUCUCCAGCAGGAGGCAGCAGAUGUUCUUCUCUCUGCUCUUCACUACAGACUGGACUUCUCCUGCUGCUCUGCUCUGGAUUUAACAGACACACUGGAAAACCAAGAACAUUUGAAACUAACUGAAAAAGACUGUAGAAUAAUCUCAUCUGUGCUUCAGAAAACUCAGAGUGUUGUGAAAUUAAUUUUACAGGACUGUGAAAUUUCUGAUACAGCUUUGAAACAACUUUGGCCAAUCCUGCCUCAAGUCCAGCUGAGCUGCAGUAAAGCUCUGCUGCUGCAGUUUCUGGCUUGUAUUAGUAAAGAUGGAUCUCAGAGAGGCUCUUUGAGGAGCGCUGAGGCUCUUUCACAGGCUUUGGGAGGAGAGAUGGACCUCAGUCACACUCAGAUGGACCCGAGAGCUUGUGAACAGCUGGCGCUGUUUCUGGAAUAUUCUGAAGGACUGACAGAACUGGAUCUCAGUCACUGCAAACUCACUGAUCUCUGCAUGGAGCCGCUGCUGCCACAUCUGCACAAAACCCAGACCCUGGACCUGAGUCACAAUAUCACAGAUGAAUCAGCAAAGAGAAUCCACAGUGUCGUCUUCACUCACAGCAAUCUUUAGACUGUACGGUAAGUGUGUGUGUGAUCUGUGUUUUAUUAGUGAAGGUCUAUUAACACUCUAUGUAAUUUAGUUUUAGUGAUUAACUAAACAAAAAAUAAAUCAUUUGGCUCUGUUUAAUUCAAUCCAAGUCUCAAAUUUUGUAUCUGUAAUCUAGAAUAGUUUCAUUACAAUAAUGUAAAAAAAUUAUAAUAAAUAGUUAAGUCUGUGUAUCUAAAAUGCAUAUUUAAAAUGACAUCAUAUAUAAAUGACAGUGGCUCAUUGUAGAAUACAUGUUUUGCAGAGCUUUACUUUACACUUUGAUGAUUGAACAACUUUGAUUUUGCUCAUCCUCAUUUUUGAGAGAUGUAGAUGAACUAAACACAUCAGUUGAUUUGUAUAUCAUGGUGUCGUCAAUUUUGUGUUUGCAGACUCUUCGGAAACAAAAUCAGUGAUAGAAAGCAGUUCAUCAGAGACAAGCGAUUUGAAAUAUGGUGAAGAUCCUGGGCCAGAACCUCACUGAUUUAACAUUAAGAGGGUAUUUUGUGUAAGGCUUGAUCCGUGAUGAAACAAUUGACAAUCACUUUGCAGAGCACUAAACAGUGUUCUGUGUAGAAGUUUAUUUUUAUGAUUCAUUUAAAAUAAUAUCUUCAUAUCUGAACCAGAUUUAUUUAGCUAUGAUAGCUAUGAUAUGAUGUAUAUUUUGCAAUGUGUUAGCCAAGAGUUAUGGUUUGGGUAUGUAGUAUACUAGGUGUGGAUCUGUCUUCACUGGUUACCGUUCACCGCUCACAUCAAGUUCAAGACAAAUCGACCUCCACUCCUGCUGUUGGUGGGUGAGCAACACCUUGUGUUUCUGUAACAUGAUGGCACUAAGUCACUUUCCGAAACAUUCCUGUUCACCGUUCCUUGCUGGUGGAAUGAUCUUCCCGAUCUUACCCGAACAGCCUCAAGAAACGGAGAUUCAAGGGAAAAACUUAACUGUGGAUGUUGACUGGAAAAAUAUUUAUAUGCUUUAUAUUACCGUUACUGUUAUUACCUCCAGAGGAUGAAUAUCUUUGCUAAACUCCUGAUUUUUUUUUUUCAUUUGCUUUGGUUA